rnacentral:lncRNA from 1 species
UACUAUCUUACGACGAUCUGGAGACCUCGGAAGUUUUAAAAAUGGAUCUUCCAUCCUUGUAAGAUCUGAAAAAGAAAACCAUGCACGUACAAAUGCAAACGAUGAACAUGAAUAAUUUGCACACAAAAUAACAAUAGGCAAGAAAUAGGCAACAACAAAUCAGCGAGAGUAUUAUAAUAAGCGAGACUUAUACCAAGAUUAAUGUCCGGACA